AGGAACAUUCAAAGAUGCAAGUUC
rnacentral:siRNA from 1 species